rnacentral:rRNA from 1 species
ACGGCGACUAUAUCCCUGGUGUUCACCUCUUCCCAUUCCGAACAGAGUCGUUAAGCCCAGGAGAGCCGAUGGUACUGCUUUAUUGCGGGAGAGUAGGUCGUCGCCGAGU